rnacentral:rRNA from 1 species
AGGACGAACGCUGGCGGCGUGCCUCAUACAUGCAAGUGGAGCGACGAACCAGGAUUUAUCCUGGGGCAAAGCCGCGAACGGGUGAGUAACACGUGGGCAACCUGCCCCUCACACUGGGAUAACCUCGGGAAACCGGGGCUAAUACCGGAUACGACCUCGAGCGGCAUCUCUUGAGGUGGAAAGCUCCGACGGUGAGGGAUGGGCCCGCGGCCUAUCAGCUUGUUGGUGGGGUAAUGGCCUACCAAGGCGACGACGGGUA